GCGGCCAUUUUCAUUUAGCUCAUGCUAGUAGCAACACAAAAGAGAUUUUUCUCUUCAAACUCAUAAUCAGUUCAGUUAAAUCUAAACUUGGCAACUUUUUCUUUUUCAACCGUAAUAAAUGAUAUUCAAUUGACCUGUUAUAACUCAGAUGGUGGCUGUCCGCCCCUCUGCUGCUGCUGCAUCGCUGUGGAAAACCUGGAGAUAUCUGCGGCUUAUAGUCAGGAAAAUACAGUAUGUUUGUACACCAUGUGGACAAAAGUAAGUCCUCAUAACUAUCAAAACACACACACACACACACACACACACGCACGCCAUUGUUUCUGGAAGGAAGGCCUCUUCCUGCCUUUAUCCUGAACCACAGUUUCUGUGUUUUUCCAGAGGAUACGUUGAGAUCAGAGAGCAGCUCCACGUCAGACUCAGCAGGAAACGACAACGACAACGGUGGGUCUCAGUGUCGCCCCCUGCUGGUUUCUGCUGGGUCUCCUGUGGAGGUUUUCAACCAGAACAAAACCAAGAAGUCGUCGGUGCUCAGCAGGACUGAACACCGUGAGAACAACAAGCCCCCUCCUCUGCCCCCCUCACAGCC